rnacentral:lncRNA from 1 species
UUGUGAGGUAAAUAAAUGGGUAGCAGUCCACAUUUACUUGCUACCAUUCUGUCUGGUGUACUGGUAAUAUCUGGACUGGUUUAAUGGCUUGUUUCAUGGGAGAAGCGCUAAACUUUACCUCAACAUUUAUGUAAAGUUAAAGCUGCACAGGAGACACACGUUGAAGUAUUUUGCGGUGAAAUGUUAUGAUGUCUGCAAGGAACUCUCAAAUGGUUGAAGAAAAAUGUGUAUGUCAGAUAAAGAGGGAAGAGAGAAAGGGAGGAAGUACUGAACAUUUGAAGAGAGGAAGAGAUGAUAUGAAAUACUUAUAUACACUAAGUUGACUUGGAAAAUCUGUAUACGGAUGGUACCCACUUCCUUAAACAAAGUUCUACAUAAUUAUAAAGAUGAAAGAAACCCUAAAACUCACCAAGUCUAAUCCAGUUAUUUUAUAGGCAAAAACAUAGAGACUUGGAUAUUCUUUUUAAUUGAUAGGUUCAGAGUAGGGAAACAGAUAAUGUGGAGAAAAUAAGCAUGGUUUAAUGGCCAAAUAUAAAAACAGUACCAAUAAUAUAAACCAUUUAUUGGAAUCCUCCUACAUGGCAGUACUAUGCUAAGAACCUUGUAUACCUUAUCUCCUGUACUGAAAACUAACUAUAG